rnacentral:rRNA from 1 species
GGGUCAGUAGGUUGGUCGUGCCACCGGUACGUACUGGUCUCACUGAUUCCUCCUUCCUGAAGAACCGUAAUGCCAUUAAUUCGGUGUUGCGGGGAAACAGGACUGUUACUUUGAAAAAAUUAGAGUGUUUAAAGCAAGCUAACGCUUGAAUACACUAGCAUGGAAUAAUGAAAUAGGACGAUCGAUCCUAUUUUGUUGGUUUCUAGGAUUGACGUA